UACGUAGGGGGCAAGCGUUGUCCGGAUUUAUUGGGCGUAAAGAGCGUGUAGGCGGCCUGGAAGGUCAGCUGUGAAAACUCGAGGCUCAACCUCGAGACGUCGGUUGAAACCACCUGGCUAGAGUCCGGAAGAGGAGAGUGGAAUUCCCGGUGUAGCGGUGAAAUGCGCAGAUAUCGGGAAGAACACCAAUGGCGAAGGCAGCUCGCUGGGACGUUACUGACGCUGAGACGCGAAAGCGUGGGGAGCAAACAGG
rnacentral:rRNA from 1 species